rnacentral:rRNA from 1 species
GGAGUUAGCCGGUGCUUCUUCUGCGAGUAACGUCACAGAUGUAAGGUAUUAACUUACACCCUUUCCUCCUCGCUGAAAGUGCUUUACAACCCGAAGGCCUUCUUCACACACGCGGCAUGGCUGCAUCAGGGUUUCCCCCAUUGUGCAAUAUUCCCCACUGCUGCCUCCCGUAGGAGUCUGGGCCGUGUCUCAGUCCCAGUGUGGCUGAUCAUCCUCUCAGACCAGCUAGGGAUCGUCGCCUAGGUGAGCCUUUACCUCACCUACUAGCUAAUCCCACCUGGGCUUAUCCAUCAGCGCAAGGCCCGAAGGUCCCCUGCUUUCCCCCGUAGGGCGUAUGCGGUAUUAGCAGUCGUUUCCAACUGUUAUCCCCCACAAAUGGGCAAAUUCCCAGGCAUUACUCACCCGUCCGCCGCUCGUCAUCUUCAAAAGCAAGCUUUUGAAAUGUUACCGCUCGACUUGCAUGUGUUAGGCCUGCCGCCAGCGUUCAAUCUGAACCAGAUACAAAUUCUGA